GUCGGAGGGGGCAAGCGUUGUCCGGAAUUACUGGGCGUAAAGGGCGCGUAGGCGGUCGCGUACGGCGGUGGUGAAAGCUCCCGGCUCAACUGGGAGAGGCCCGCCGCAACGGCGUGACUCGAGGGUGGUAGAGGCGGAUGGAAUUCCUGGUGUAGCGGUGAAAUGCGUAGAGAUCAGGAGGAACACCCGUGGCGAAGGCGGUCCGCUGGGCCAUGCCUGACGCUGAGGCGCGAAAGCUAGGGGAGUGAACGGGAUUAGAUACCCCGGUAAUCCUAGCCGUAAACGAUGGAUACUAGGUGUGCGCGGUAUCGACCCCGCGCGUGCCGGAGCUAACGCGUGAAGUAUCCCGCCUGGGGAGUACGGCCGCAAGGUUGAA
rnacentral:rRNA from 1 species